rnacentral:rRNA from 1 species
GUACACAAAAAUGCACAUGCUGUGAGCUCGAUGAGUAGGGCGGGACACGUGGUAUCCUGUCUGAAUAUGGGGGGACCAUCCUCCAAGGCUAAAUACUCCUGACUGACCGAUAGUGAACCAGUACCGUGAGGGAAAGGCGAAAAGAACCCCGGCGAGGGGAGUGAAAAAGAACCUGAAACCGUGUACGUACAAGCAGUGGGAGCACGCUUAGGCGUGUGACUGCGUACCUUUUGUAUAAUGGGUCAGCGACUUAUAUUCUGUAGCAAGGUUAACCGAAUAGGGGAGCCGAAGGGAAACCGAGUCUUAACUGGGCGUUAAGUUGCAGGGUAUAGACCCGAAACCCGGUGAUCUAGCCAUGGGCAGGUUGAAGGUUGGGUAACACUAACUGGAGGACCGAACCGACUAAUGUUGAAAAAUUAGCGGAUGACUUGUGGCUGGGGGUGAAAGGCCAAUCAAACCGGGAGAUAGCUGGUUCUCCCCGAAAGCUAUUUAGGUAGCGCCUCGUGAAUUCAUCUCCGGGGGUAGAGCACUGUUUCGGCAAGGGGGUCAUCCCGACUUACCAACCCGAUGCAAACUGCGAAUACCGGAGAAUGUUAUCACGGGAGACACACGGCGGGUGCUAACGUCCGUCGUGAAGAGGGAAACAACCCAGACCGCCAGCUAAGGUCCCAAAGUCAUGGUUAAGUGGGAAACGAUGUGGGAAGGCCCAGACAGCCAGGAUGUUGGCUUAGAAGCAGCCAUCAUUUAAAGAAAGCGUAAUAGCUCACUGGUCGAGUCGGCCUGCGCGGAAGAUGUAACGGGGCUAAACCAUGCACCGAAGCUGCGGCAGCGACACUGUGUGUUGUUGGGUAGGGGAGCGUUCUGUAAGCCUGCGAAGGUGUGCUGUGAGGCAUGCUGGAGGUAUCAGAAGUGCGAAUGCUGACAUAAGUAACGAUAAAGCGGGUGAAAAGCCCGCUCGCCGGAAGACCAAGGGUUCCUGUCCAACGUUAAUCGGGGCAGGGUGAGUCGACCCCUAAGGCGAGGCCGAAAGGCGUAGUCGAUGGGAAACAGGUUAAUAUUCCUGUACUUGGUGUUACUGCGAAGGGGGGACGGAGAAGGCUAUGUUGGCCGGGCGACGGUUGUCCCGGUUUAAGCGUGUAGGCUGGUUUUCCAGGCAAAUCCGGAAAAUCAAGGCUGAGGCGUGAUGACGAGGCACUACGGUGCUGAAGCAACAAAUGCCCUGCUUCCAGGAAAAGCCUCUAAGCAUCAGGUAACAUCAAAUCGUACCCCAAACCGACACAGGUGGUCAGGUAGAGAAUACCAAGGCGCUUGAGAGAACUCGGGUGAAGGAACUAGGCAAAAUGGUGCCGUAACUUCGGGAGAAGGCACGCUGAUAUGUAGGUGAAGUCCCUCGCGGAUGGAGCUGAAAUCAGUCGAAGAUACCAGCUGGCUGCAACUGUUUAUUAAAAACACAGCACUGUGCAAACACGAAAGUGGACGUAUACGGUGUGACGCCUGCCCGGUGCCGGAAGGUUAAUUGAUGGGGUCAGCGCAAGCGAAGCUCUUGAUCGAAGCCCCGGUAAACGGCGGCCGUAACUAUAACGGUCCUAAGGUAGCGAAAUUCCUUGUCGGGUAAGUUCCGACCUGCACGAAUGGCGUAAUGAUGGCCAGGCUGUCUCCACCCGAGACUCAGUGAAAUUGAACUCGCUGUGAAGAUGCAGUGUACCCGCGGCAAGACGGAAAGACCCCGUGAACCUUUACUAUAGCUUGACACUGAACAUUGAGCCUUGAUGUGUAGGAUAGGUGGGAGGCUUUGAAGUGUGGACGCCAGUCUGCAUGGAGCCGACCUUGAAAUACCACCCUUUAAUGUUU